UGCAAUGUUCUCUGAAAACGAGGUUGCACAGUUGAAUAAUGACUCUUUUAGAGGACAGUAUUCAAUGAAUACUCUUGAUACAGUUUAUGUCAUUUUGAGACUACUAAACGGUACGGUAACACCUAUGUUGAGAAUGUGAUUACAAAAGUGAUAGAUAGAAUAUCAAAUCUCUGUAAAGCUAGCACAGAUCGUACCACCCCUUCACCUGUUGACAAAAGUGAAGAAAAGGAUGUUGUGCCAGCAAUUCUCUGGAGUGUAUAUGGUAGUGCUUUAGUUUAUGCGGCCAUCUCUGUUGGGGUUGUGAUGCUGUAUAGAAAAAUGAGAGCAGCAAAGAGAACGAAAGGUAA